GCUGCCGUACCAGAGUGGUCUAAUGGCGGGGUCUGCAAAACCCUCGAUUCGCCGGUUCAAAUCCGGCCGGCAGCU
rnacentral:tRNA from 1 species